UCUUUUAAAUUUUAAUGGUCAUUUUACCCCUAGUUAAAAGAAUAUUCUUUCCCAUUCCUAAGGGAAUGAAUAUUCCUUCCAAAAAUUUUCUCCCAAAAUUUUCCCUCCAAAAACUUUUCCGGUUAAAUUUUCCCGCCAAAAAAAUUUCCAAAAAAUUUUCCGAGAAACUUUUCCCGCCAAAAAAAAUUCCCGCAAAAAAAAAAAUAUUUUUAAAAAAUUUUCCCG
rnacentral:lncRNA from 1 species